rnacentral:rRNA from 1 species
CGGACCGGCGCACGGGUGAGUAACACGUAUGCAACCUGGCCGUCACAGGUGGAUAACCGGAAGAAAUUCCGACUAAUACAGCAUAACACUCCUGAGGGACAUCCUUCGGGAGUCAAAGGAGGCAACUCCGGUGACGGAUGGGCAUGCGGCGCAUUAGGUAGUUGGUAGGGUAACGGCCUACCAAGCCGACGAUGCGUAGGGGUUCUGAGAGGAAGGUCCCCCACAUUGGAACUGAGACACGGUCCAAACUCCUACGGAAGGCAGCAG